GGUAGUAGCAAAUAUUCAAAUGAGAACUUUGAAGACUGAAGUGGAGAAAGGUUCCAUAUGUGAACAGCAAUUGGACAUGGGUUAGGAUCUCUUCCUAUCGAUACGCUUAUCGAAAAUGAAGUUUACCGAAUAUGCAGCGUGCGACAUACCUUUUUGAGAGCGGUACGGGAAGAGAAGGGCGAAUAUUUGCAGCGACUGAGGGCCCAAAAACGUUUCCAACGGCGGUU
rnacentral:ncRNA from 1 species